AGUGAACGCUGGCGGUAGGCCUAACACAUGCAAGUCGAACGGCAGCACAGUAAGAGCUUGCUCUUACGGGUGGCGAGUGGCGGACGGGUGAGGAAUACAUCGGAAUCUACUUUUUCGUGGGGGACAACGUAGGGAAACUUACGCUAAUACCGCAUACGACCUACGGGUGAAAGCAGGGGAUCUUCGGACCUUGCGCGAUUGAAUGAGCCGAUGUCGGAUUAGCUAGUUGGCGGGGUAAAGGCCCAACAAGGCGACGAACCGUAGCUGGUCUGAGAGGAUGUUCAGCCACACUGGAACUGAGACACGGUCCAGACUCCUACGAGAGGCAGCAGUGGGGAAUAUUGGACAAUGGGCGCAAGCCUGUUCCAGCCAUACCGCGUGGGUGAAUAAGGCCUUCGGGUUGUAAAGCCCUUUUGUUGGGAAAGAAAAGCAGCAGGUUAAUACCCCGCUGUUCUGACGGUACCCAAAGAAUAAGCACCGGCUAACUUCGUG
rnacentral:rRNA from 1 species